AUAACCAUAGCACGUUGAAACACCGGUUCCCGUACGAUCACCAAAGUUAAGCAACGUUGAACCUGGUAAGUACCUAGAUGGGUGAGCGAUUGGGAAUACCAGGUGCUGUAAG